rnacentral:rRNA from 1 species
AGAACGAACGCUGGCGGCGUGGAUAAGACAUGCAAGUCGAACGGGACAUUGGUAGCAAUACCGGUGUUCAGUGGCGUAAGGGUGCGUAACACGUGGGUAACCUGCCGAGAAGUGGGGGAUAGCUCGCCGAAAGGCGAAUUAAUACCGCAUAGUACAUUUGUUAAAGCCGGGGCAACCUGGCGCUUCUUGAGGGGCCCGCGGCCUAUCAGCUAGUUGGUGAGGUAUCGGCUUACCAAGGCUAUGACGGGUAGCUGGUCUGAGAGGACGACCAGCCACACUGGAACUGAGACACGGUCCAGACACCUACGGGUGGCAGCAGUCGAGAAUUUUUUCUCAAUGGGGGAAACCCUGAAGGAGCGACGCCGCGUGGAGGAUGAAGGUCUUCGGAUUGUAAACUCCUGUCAUUGAAGAACAAAAUACGUAAGUUAACUGCUUAUGUGUCGAUAGUAUUCGAAGAGGAAGGGACGGCUAACUCUGUCGCCAGCAGCCGCGGU